rnacentral:lncRNA from 1 species
AAGAAUAAUAGUCGGCAAUGUUUGAGGGUAUCGAAGAAGACCCAAAAAACCUGGUACCGGCAAGCCUGCACAUCAGGUCUGGCAAUGAGGAGUAAAUCACUUGCAGGGACUCGCUCAGAGAAUCGGCCCCACCUGUCGUUUCUGUUUUCUUUAUUUUGGUUGCAUCGUUCUUGGUGAACUUAUUUUGGUUAUUGCGUUUUUAGACAAGUAGUUCUUAGUGCAUGGGUUAUAAGUUUUCGUUCAAGAUUUUAUUUAUUUGGGAUGACUGGUAACAUGAAUGGAUUUGCAUUCGCUAACCCUUUGUGUCGUCGCGUUUUACCUAUUAUGUAGGGGUGGUAGUCCUUCUAAAAAUUCGUUUGAUGAAAUGAGCAUCUUUGGUCAAGAAUUUUAAUAAUAUAAGUAGCCUCUUUUUGAA